ACGAACGCUGGCGGCGUGCUUAACACAUACAAGUCGAACGGAAAGGCCCUGCUUUUGUGGGGUGCUCGAGUGGCGAACGGGUGAGUAACACGUGAGUAACCUGCCCUUGACUUUGGGAUAACUUCAGGAAACUGGGGCUAAUACCGGAUAGGAGCUCCUGCUGCAUGGUGGGGGUUGGAAAGUUUCGGCGGUUGGGGAUGGACUCGCGGCUUAUCAGCUUGUUGGUGGGGUAGUGGCUUACCAAGGCUUUGACGGGUAGCCGGCCUGAGAGGGUGACCGGCCACAUUGGGACUGAGAUACGGCCCAGACUCCUACGGGAGGCAGCAGUGGGGAAUAUUGCACAAUGGGCGGAAGCCUGAUGCAGCAACGCCGCGUGCGGGAUGACGGCCUUCGGGUUGUAAACCGCUUUCGCCUGUGACGAAGCGUGAGUGACGGUAAUGGGUAAAGAAGCACCGGCUAACUACGUG
rnacentral:rRNA from 1 species